AGUCAGCGCUCCGCUCGCGCCCCGCCCGGCUGCUGCGGAGGCGGCUUUCCAGGAACUUUCCAGGAAUCGGCCUCACGUGACCGCGGGCCCCGCUACUGCUUUAAAGAGGCUCGGUCGCAAUACACAGGCUUCAGGGAAGACCGGGAUUUGAUGGAAAUGCUACAAGAGAAGCAGGCUCUCCCCUUCUGAAAUGAUGAGUGAUAAUGACCAUACAGGUCAACUUUUCCACCACUUGGAGGGAGCCUGUCAAAGAACAAAGGCAACAGAGAAGAGAGCAGAGCUGAGGUUGGGUGAGAGGGAGAAAUUCCUGAGUGCUUGAAUCCCACAUGCCGGAAGCCGCACCACACUUGGACUUCUCAAUACAGGAGCCAGCUCCAGUGUCCUACAGAUGUGCCUCUUUUCUCUUUGAAGCUGAGAAACCAAGUCAUGCUGAAGACCUGGAAAUCCCAGCAGGCUGCAAACCAGCUGCAACUACAAUGGGUCAGCCCUUUUGAGAUGCUGCUGACUACCCACUUAUCUGCCAAGUUAGCCAGUGUUAAGCCAUGGAUUCACCACGCUCAGAUAAAACCUGCCCCUCUGGGAUCCCUCCAGAAAAAAACAGGCAUGCUGUUGUGAACCCUAAGAUGGCCUUAAGUUAAUAUUCAAUGCCCAGCCAAAGACCCUAAAUAAGAAGUCAUAAAGGAAACAUGUGCUUUUCAGGUACCAAUCACCCUCCAGAUCUAAGAAUGGCUUCAGGCUGGGGCUGCAGUCACCUCUUUGCCCAGCUUCUCCCCUGCCCUAUUCUGCUUCACUUGCAUCCUUAAAGGUUCCACCCAAGAGCUCUUCUACAAGAAAGCACCUAUAAAGCCAGACACAUUGGCUUAUGCCUAUAAUCCUAGCACUUUGGGAGGCCAAGGUAGGAGGAUGGCUUGAGGCCAGGAGUUCAAGACCAGCCUGGGCAACUUAGUGAGGCCCCGUCUCUAUAAAAAAUAAAAAAAUUAACCAGGUGUGGUGGUGCACGUCUCUAGUCUCAGCUACUCAGGAGGCUGUGGCAGGAAGAUGGCUUGAGCCCAGGAGGUUGAGGCUGCAGUGAACUAAGAUCAUGCCACUGCACCCAUCUUGGGCAACAGAAUGAGAUCCUGUCUCUAAAAAAAUAAAAACAAUUUACAACAGUAAGCACCUGUACACAAGCCCCAUCUCCAGUCCUGUUUCUAGGGCUUCCAAUUUAACACACCUAGAGGCUGGGCAUAGUAGCUCAUGCCUGUAAUCCCAAUACUUUGGGAGGCUGAGGCAAGUGAAGCACUUGAGGUCAGGAGUUCGAGACCAGCCUGGCCAACAUGGCAAAACCCCAUCUCUACUAAAAAUGCAAACAUUAGCUGGGCAUGGUGGCACAUGCCUGUAAUCCCAGCUACUCGGGAGGCUGAGACAGGAGAAUCACUUGAACCCAGGAGGUGGAGGUUACAGUGAGCCAAGAUCACACCACUGUACCACAGCCUGAGCAACGAAAGAAGACUCUGUCUAAAAAAAGUAAAAAAUAAAAUAAAACACACCUGGAGCUUUCUA
rnacentral:lncRNA from 1 species